rnacentral:other from 1 species
CGUCCCCUGCGGUGUGCGACAGCGCAUCCAAACAUAUCGCCUUGGUCCUAUAAACGACCCCGGGAUGGCGGUGCGAAAGUCCGUGUGCAUGUCCGCCGUGUGCGGAAAGCCUGACGACCAGCGAGCCCUCCCACCUGAUCUUCGGAUCAAGGUCGUUUGAUGUGCAUCGGCAUCGCGGAGGGCGU